GGAGAGGUCGCAUAGUGGCCUAGUGCGCAUCUUUGGAGAAGAUGUGUGGACGCAAGUUCACCGUGGGUUCAAAUCCCACCCUCUCCG
rnacentral:tRNA from 1 species